rnacentral:rRNA from 1 species
AUGGCCGCCGCCAAGGAGAACUACCGCGUCGAGCUCCGAGCCGCCGCUCGCCAGCUCGGCGACCGUUGCCUCUACUCCGCCGCGAAAUGGGCCGCCGAGCUGCUCGUCGGCAUCGAGCCGGACGCGACGCCGUCCCAGUCGGCGGCAAUGGACACCCCGUCCUCCUCGGGCGCCGCCCCCGGCGGGCGGCUGCUGCAUCUGCACCGCAGCGGCGGGUCCAGUUUCCGGCGCCGCAUGCGAUCGGGCGGCGGCGCCGCCUCCGAGGCUGGGACGCCGCUCGGCGGCGUCUCGUACGUGAGCACGCCCAUCCCGGACGACGACGCGUUCGACGCAGGGGCCGACAAGUACCUGCUCGCGAAGACCUACUUCGACUGCCGGGAGUACCGGCGCGCCGCUCACGUGCUGCGCUCCCAGGUCGGGCGCAAGGCCGUGUUCCUGCGCUGCUACGCGCUCUACAUGGCUGGAGAGAAGCGAAAAGAGGAAGAGACAAUAGAGCUUGAAGGAUCUUUGGGGAAGAGCAACGUUGUUAAUCAGGAACUUGUUGCAUUGGAGAGAGAGCUCUCAACACAUCGCAGAACUGGUGCUAUUGAUUCCUUUGGUCUGUACUUGUAUGGCAUUGUUCUACGCGAUAAAGGCUGUGAAGGUCUGGCUAGAACAGUUCUGGUAGAAUCUGUCAAUAGCUACCCUUGGAACUGGUGUGCUUGGUUAGAGAUACAGUCUUUGUGCACUAGCAGUGACAUUCUGAACAACUUAAAUCUGAAGAAUCACUGGAUGAAAGAUUUUUUCAUCGCUAGUGCACAUCUGGAAUUAAAGAUGCAUGAAGAAGCUUUGAAAAGAUAUGAGCGCUUGAUGGGGGUCUUCCGUUGCAGCGACUACAUUCAGGCUCAAAUAGCAACCGUUCAGUAUAGUAUGAGGGACCUGGAUGAAGCUGACAUGAUUUUUGAAGAACUCCUCAGAACUGAUCCUUUUCGUGUGGAUUCUAUGGAUAUUUACUCAAAUUUAUUGUAUGCAAAAGAAAGCUUGACUGCUUUGAGCUUCCUUGCUCACAGGGUGUUUCUGACAGAUAAAUAUCGCCCUGAAUCUUGCUGCAUAAUUGCAAAUUACUACAGUUUGAAGGGGCAGCAUGAGAAGUCAGUUUUGUAUUUCCAAAGGGCGCUGAAGCUUAACCGCAAGUACCUCUCAGCUUGGACUCUCAUGGGACAUGAGUUUGUUGAGCUAAAAAAUACGCCUGCUGCAAUUGAUGCCUACAGAAGAGCUGUUGAUAUAAAUCCUAGAGAUUACCGUGCUUGGUAUGGUCUUGGUCAGAUCUAUGAGAUGAUGGGAAUGCCAUUUUAUGCACUAUACUAUUUCCGAAAAUCAUCCCACCUGCAACCUAACGAUGCACGCCUUUGGAUUGCUAUGGCUCAGUGCUAUGAGAGUGAUCCGCUUCAAAUGAUUGAAGAAGCUAUCAAGUGCUAUGAGAGGGCUGCAAAUACUAAUGACACUGAAGGAAUAGCACUUCACCAAUUGGCAAAGUUGCACAGUAUGCUUGGGCAAGCUGAGGAGGCUGCAUUUUACUACAAGAAGGAUUUAGAUAGAAUGGAAGUUGAGGAAAGGCAGGGCCAGAAUUUUGUUGAAGCCUUGCUUUUUCUUGCGAAGCAUUGCAAGAGCAUGGGCAGGUUUGAGGAAGCAGAACACUAUUGCACAAGACUCUUGGAUUACACUGGCCCAGAAAAAGAGACUGCAAAAAGUAUGUUACAAGGGUUAAAACGAGCACAGUCUGGAUUUCCACCGAUGGAUAUCGAUCAUUUUGCGUUGUAA